AAACCUCAGCGCAUCUUCACACAAUCGUUCCCUGAAUUGGAAAACCUCUCGGCGUUUUUUGUUUCUAAAGGAAAAAUGGCGUCGCCGUCACGCGUGGAAGUCCUUACUCUUUUCCGGUCGCUUCUACGGACGGCGCGUGAGUUUCCCGAUUACAACGUUAGGGAAUACACUAAACGCCGAACAAUCGAUGGGUUUCGCCAGAACAAAGACCUGUCGGAUCCAUCUAAGGUCACCGCUGCUUUCUCCGAUGGUAGGUCACAGCUCGAGGUUGCCAAGAGACAAGCCGUAGUUUACUCCCUCUACGCACCCAAGGUCAAAAGCGUUAUGGAAUUGAACCAGUAACACCAUUGAAUUUUCGUUCAUUUUUAAUCCCUUUUUUUUAUAUUUAGAACAAAAGAAUAAUUCUGUGAACGUUGAAUAGUUCAGCAAUGAUGGAUGUGAAUCCCUUGAGUUAUGAAUGGUGUUUUGUAGAAACCCUAGGGUUUUGGUUCUUUGUAUGUGGUAUUUGCUUGAGCUUUGCUUUUGAGGAUUUAUGAUCCAUGGGUGAUUCAGUUGAUUUGACUGGGGAUGGAGGUGUCAUCAAGACAAUCAUAAGGCAGGCAAAAGCUGGUGCACUUGCACCAUCGGAGGAUCUUCCUCUUGUUGAUGUGCAACCCUUAUUUUUGAGGUGGAGUUAGUGGCCUGCAAGCCACGGAAAGGCUCUAGUAUGAGUAGUGUUUCAGAUGACAGGGCUAGGCUAGAGUAAGCAACACUAACCACGUCUGUUUUUAGUUCUUUUGAGAAUGAACGUACAGUAGUGUUUAUCAACUAUACUGAGUCUCUCAAGUUCACCUAUUUUGAACACGAUAUAAUUAGUUUGUGUGAUGCUAAAAAUUGUUUUCAGGGAGCUGAAGAAGCAAAGGGAGCUUGCUGCUGCUGCAAAAGAAGAAGAGAAGAAGAGGAGAGAAGAAGCCAAAGCUGCUGCAGCUGCCCGCAUGCAAGCCAAGCUAGAAUCAAAGAAAGGAAAGGGAAAGGGAAAAUCCAAAUAGGGUGUUAUUACAGUUACGUGUAUGAUAAUAUUAGAUUUGAUAAAGGAGUUAGAUACAUGAAAGUCACUUGCUGUCAUGUGAAAUUAAUAUUUAUGCUAUGGUGAUUAUACUGAUUUUAAAUUGAAGGGGUAAAUAAAACCCUAAAGUUUCCAUGACGCAAUUAAUGUUGAUAGAUUUCAAGUGACAUUUUCUCAAUUGGACCCUAAAGCUUAGCUGUUCUUGUUG
rnacentral:misc_RNA from 1 species